rnacentral:rRNA from 1 species
UACGGGGGGGGGCAAGCGUUGUUCGGAAUUACUGGGCGUAAAGGGCUCGUAGACGGCCAACUAAGUCAGACGUGAAAUCCCCAGGCUCAACCUGGGAACUGCGUCUGAUACUGGAUGGCUUGAAUCCGGGAGAGGGAUGCAGAAUUCCAGGUGUAGCGGUGAAAUGCGUAGAUAUCUGGAGGAAUACCGGUGGCGAAGGCGGCAUCCUGGACCGGCAUUGACGCUGAGGAGCGAAAGCUAGGGGAGCAAACAGGG